rnacentral:lncRNA from 1 species
UUGGAACAUCUCCCCCGUAUUCAUUUCAGAAAGGGUAUGGAAGUUUCUCCAUUGCUAUCCAUGAAGGCAGAUACGAAUAUAAAACCAUAGAAGAAAUUUGAACUGAAGAGAAACUCAUGUUGAUUAAUAUCCGAUGUAGAACUUAGAGAAUGAAGAAACGAAACAUUGGGGGUUGAAAACGGGAAAAAUUUCGGUAAGAAAUUCUCUAAAUCCUUGUUAAUCUCAAUUUUUUUAACCGGACAUAUAUUAGUUGGAAGAUAAUUUUACCUGAUUAUUUUUGGCAAUGUUGUCUUUGAAGAUGUUAGUGAAAACCGAAGUGGUAGUAAGGAAUAACUUGAAAUACUUUAAGACUGGACACACAAUCAGAUACCUUUCAAUCUGCUUGAAAUUUUGAAUUUCAUACUGUGUGAGUAUUUGUUUGAAUCAGGUUCCUUCCAAAUUAGAUUGAUGUGGUAAUUGUACAGAUAUAAGAUUACGAUUUCACUUAAAAAUUUCAGAUUUUGGGUGUAUAAGAAUGCAAUGUAUGGAGGAAAAAUCUUGAAAUGGAUUAAUAACAAUUUGUCCUAUUAUGCUUUUUUAAAAUACAAAGUGAUAUUGAUGGAAAUGCCCCUGCACUGUUUGCAGGAACCAUUUCUGUUAUCUUAUUAUACCACAGGUUGAAACAGACACAUGCAUUUGAAUCACCACAUUGACUAUUUUGAAAAACAUUACACCAAACCUGAUAAUAUUAAUAGUUGACAUGAAAUAUGGAAAAAAUAUUGUGUUUUAGUAGAAUGUGAUUUCAAAUACAAUGCCCAUAUACAUAAUGGACAAUUAUGCCCCUGGCCAUAAACAAAUGUCGUUCCUAGUUUGAUUUCAGUUACAUCUGCCUCUGCCCUUAUUUGGUUAGAUGCAAGAGAAAGCAAUAUAUUUUACAGACUAAAAUCUGUUUACAACCAAAUAGAUUAGUUGAUAGUUCCAAGAAAUGAUGAUACUUGAGGAUGAGCAACACAAACAUAGAAAGAUAUUAGUUUAGUCUAAUUCAUUAAGCUAUGAGGAUAAAUCCACUUCUUCAGAAAUAGAGAAAAAGAAAUUUAAGAUAAAAGGACGAAAAUGACCUUUACCCAGAUUCUCUGUAUUGUACAUUUUCUUUUGGUUGUAAUACACAAAUUAUAAAAAAUAAAAUAAAAAAAUGAUGCUCCAAAUGGAAUGAACAACAUGACAUAAAUGAUUAUUUAUCAACUUUUAUACAAAUUACAAAUGCAACUGGAUAUUUAAUGCAUUUGUAACCAAAACAUUAGACAAAUCAAAAAAUGGCAGGAAGAGAAAUCACUAUAACAUUUAACAUCUUCCGUAUAUUAUGAGUCCUCCAUACGACAAUAUAAGUCAAAAUUGUUAUCUUUUAUUAUUUUUUGUUAGUGAUUCUUAAAAAUGUGAAUAAAUAAUAAGGAACUUCAAAAUUUUCAUUGAGCAAAAAAUCUGGUGUGCCUUAGAUUAAUCAUAAUCUGGUCUAAAUAUUCUUUUGGGAUGAUUACUACGGGCAAGAUAUGAGAAUUAGAUUUAUCAUUUACAUAAUUGUAAUCUACAUCAUCUAGAAUUUAUGAUGAUUUAGGCAUUUAGGGUUAUGCAUAUAUGACGAAUUCAAUGUGAAGGCAAAAUUGUCAUACUUUUUUUAAUAUGUUAAAAUUAGGCCAUUUCAACAGAGAUUUACUUAACCAACCUCGUUUAAUGCCUUUUCUUGUAGCUAUUUAACUGAAAAAAAAAUACAAAAUUAUAUAAAUUUGAUGAAAAGUAUAAAUAUGAUACAAAUUACCUUAUGUAGGUUUUUUUGGUGAAUGAAAACGCAGACAGAUGAACAGAAACACACAUAAAAGAGAUCGACCACAACACACGCUCAUACACAAUAAGUGUUAAAGUAAAGUGCUUUAAAUCGGAUGACUUUAAAUGUAAGGUGCUACAAAAUAGAGUUGUUCGUUUUAUUUUCAGAAAAAAAAAAAAAAAAACAAUUGAUUCUGAACAGGAACAUAAAUCCAUAAUCACACAUAACAAGCGAGACACAUAUAGCGUAUACAAAUACAUAUAGGAUAACAGGAGGAGAAGAACUGUAAGAGAAGAACAAUACUUAGUGUAACAGAAGAAGAAGUAUAAAGGAGAACGAUUUACCAGGGUUGCAGAGAAGAAGCGUACAGAGGAACCAAAAUUUGAAAGAUGCAACGGUCAGAAAGCUUUUUAGAUCUUGGAUUUAUAUAAAUGAUAAUAUAUGAAACAUUAUUUCAUUCCUAUUAUAAUGGAGAUAUAAUGGGUAAAAGAUAUAGAAUUUCAAAACGAUUGGUAUAUUAUGGUAACCGAGUUGCUAAUUAGUAGGAGUUGAUAAUUCUAUUGUUUAUGACUUUAAAUUAAAUUGAUUUUAUUGUGAUUGUAUUUUGACUUCCGUUAACAAUUCAUUGGGCGGGAAAAGUUUUGUGAGGAGACGUGUGAAACUGACACGUGGAUUGAAUGAGCUUAUUAGAAGGACACGCAGCGCCUUAUGUAACGCCUGUGUUUCCGGGCUCGUCAUUAAUAUUGAUAUAGUAGUCCAGGUUAACCUUUGUAACCCGUUUUGAAAUAAUAGAAGUGUAUUAUUUGAGUAUUAUGUGUUAUGUGCUUAAUUGUGUAUCUUAAUUUAAUUAAGAAUAAAAAUAAGCGUCAAAAUGAAAUGUUAGAUAAAGCCGAUAUCUAUGGAUAAUGUUGUAUUAGUUGAAACGAGGUUUCCAAAUAUAUAAAGAAUGCCGAAAUCCAAGUUAUAACGAAGAAGUUAUGACCUGUCGAAGUUUCGCGACAGAACUGGCAAUGCUGAAUGACGUAAAAAGUGAAAUUUACGUUAGUGCGAUAUUUAGCCUUAGUGAUCUAAAUGAAUGUUGUAGAAACCCUUAAACCGAGAGCGUACAUGAAAAGAACGCCCAAAUCUGACUUCGUAUGAGGAAGUUAUGAUUUUUCGAAGUUUCGACUUAGCGGUAUGCAGCCCGAAUACUCGAAAUAGAGAUUGAGUGAUAUUUAGCCAAAAAUUUCUAAAUGAGAAUUGAAGAUUUCAUUGAUAGUAGUCCAACGAUAAAAAGACAGACGAAAACGGAGUUCAGAAGAAGGAGUUAUGAAUUUCGAAUAGAGUUUUCCUGUCCCGGCCUACUAAAAAUAAUAUAUAAGUAAUAUACUUAUAAUAUAUUAAAAAUCAAGUCAAAAUUAGCCAAUCGAGUCUAAACGAGAGUUGUAGAGCAUAAUCUCACAUUCGCGUCGAUAUAAAGAAUGUCGAAAACGGAGUUCGUAUGCGAAAGUUAUGAAUUUCUGAAGUUCGGGGCGCGAAACCCCAAAACUGUCAGAUACCACGACGUGGCAAGCAGUGCGACGACGUGGUCAGUCUUCUGACACCUCCGGGAGUCCCCCAGAUGCAACUUGCGAUGACGCAUGCAGUGACGACCAAUCCCACGACGUGGAAAAAGGUGUCACGACGUGGCAAGUGCCAGUUUUUCCCUAUAAAUAGAUUUGAAGGGCCAGCCGAGUUUGGUUGCUCAUUCUCUCAUCUCUCACAUGUAUUGCAUCGAUUUACGUGCAAAGAAGUACCCCUGAAGCCCCGGUAUCAAUCCCGAGCCCCGAAGCCCCGAAGAUCCCGAGAAGUGCAAUUCCCGAGUCGAAGCUCUGCUUGCGAGAAGCUAAUUUUUGUGAAGAUCUUCCAGAUCUAUCAAAGAAUACUACUUCUACAAGCCGUAGUGUUGUCUGAUCAUCUUCUGAUCAAGUGAGUGUGUAGUUACUUUCUACUAACGCAUAAUUAUGAAGUAUUUUAUAUGAAAUACAUGUUAUGUGUAUAUUUUGUUGUUAUAUGUGCGAAUGUAUAUUCACUUUCUUCUAUCACAUAGAUAUGAUUUAUUCUCUAUGAAAUACGUGUUAUGUGUAUAUGUCUCAUCUGUUGUUUGGAAUAUGUAUUGAAUGAGAAUGUUAUACAGGUUUUAAAGUAUGCAUAAAAAUAUAUAUUUUUAUCUACUAAUAUGUUGGGUAGAACAUGGGUAGAUAGUUGGUGUGUAAUAAACAGAUGAGAGGCCUCGACGUUGUUGUUGUUGUUGAUCUAGUUAUUCAGCGGAGUAUGGAUAACGACCACAGACUCUUUCUAGACAGUCCUGUGGAACGCUAGCAGGUUCAUAACCUGUAGGUGUUGUGAACGAUGUGUUCACCGGUGUACUCUAUCCCCCUCAUGGUUGCCUUUAGGAUAUCUAUUGUUGAGGAAACCCCUUAGCAGUAAUGUCCGUCCCGAUGAAAAUCCUAGAUUAGGUCCCUUGAGAUAGAUGUUGUUUUAGGGACAUAAAGUGAGGAUAACGGGAAUGGGCAAUCGGGUUAUUGUUGGUUGGUGAAAUUAAAUAUAAUUAUUUAUUGUGGGUUGAAAACCCUAUAUGCUCACCAGACUCCCAAGUCUGACCCACUCAGUUUAUUCGUAUUACAGGUAGUGGCGCGAGGGCAUAAGAUGGUUGAAUCAUCAAGUUGUUUUGUUUACAAGUCUGUAUAUGUAUAUAUUUGUUGAAUGACUUGUAAUGUUAUUGUUUAUGCUUUAUGGUCUGUAUCGAAACAUGACAUCCCGAGUUUUGAUUAUAUAAUGAAAAUGCAUCUCUUGAUGAAAUGCUUUGAUAAAUAUUAUUUUAUCAUAUUUUGUUUUGGGA